GUUGGCUAAUUUAAAAGUUAUACUGAUAAAUAGGAUGAAAAUGCUUAAACAGCUAAAACAUCAACCUCGGUAAGUGUCAACCAAGGGGUAAUCCACGCAAUUCCUCCAGUAACUUGUGAUAGGACCAACAAGAUUUUGGACAGAUUAAUCUUUUCUGAGUUCCAUAUACUCAUGACGGAUACCAUCAGCAUUUAGGAUGACAAUUUCAAGCUUGUCUCCAGUGUAGAUAUCCCUCUCAGUUGCAGAUGCAAAAACAGUUUUCACUAAGUCAACAGCUUCCAAUUCUGAAAGUGGAGUUACAGCAUCCUGGG
rnacentral:misc_RNA from 1 species